rnacentral:rRNA from 1 species
UGGACGCGCCGCUAGUGAACCGGUUAUGACGCCAGUCGUACGGCCGGGUAGCCACGCGCGGACGGGAUAAGCGCUGAAAGCAUCUAAGCGCGAAGCCUGCCUCAAGAUGAGAUCUCCUUGUAGGGUCGUUGUAGACGACGACGUUGAUAGGCCACAGGUGUAAAGCCGGUGACGGCAAAGCCGAGUGGUACUAAUCACCCGAGAGUUGACGUU